GAACUGCGAUAAGUAGUGUGAAUUGCAUUUAGUGAAUCAUCGAAUCUUUGAACGCACCCUGCACUCACUGGUAUUCCGGUGAGUACGCCUGUUUCAGUAUCAUUGAAAACACACAAUCAAAACAUUUUCUUUGGUUUGAUUGGCUUUGGGUCUAUCAAAAAGUUUGGCUUGUUUCUUACAAGCCAAGCGGCCUGAAAUAUAUUGUCUGGCUAAUUGCAUCGUUGAUGAUCGCUAUUAGACUUUGGCUUUUUUAAAUGAACUGGAGGUUGAUUAACCAGUUUUAGCUUUAGUCAAAUGGUCAUUGUAAAAAAAAUCUCGAUCUUGGCUAGGUGUUUAUAGCCGAAAAUUUUUUUUUGGCUAUAACCGAAACCAAUAUAAUCACAUUUAGUUAUCGAUCUGAAAUCAGGUGGGACUACCCGCUGAACUUAAGC
rnacentral:misc_RNA from 1 species